rnacentral:rRNA from 1 species
GUCGCACGGACCUUCGGGUUAGUGGCGGACGGCUGAGUAACGCGUAGGCAAUCUGCCCAGUGGUGGGGGAUAACCUGUCGAAAGGCGGGCUAAGACCGCAUGUGCUCACCGGGUGAAACUCCCGGUGUGGAAAACAGCAAUGUGCCACUGGAGGAGCCUGCGUCCUAUCAGGUAGUUGGUGGGGUAACGGCCUACCAAGCCGAUGACGGGUAGCUGGUCUGAGAGGUCGACCAGCCAGAAGGGGACUGAGACACGGCCCCUACUCCUACGGGAGGCAGCAGCGAGGAAUCUUGGGCAAUGGGCGAAAGCCUGACCCAGCGACGCCGCGUGAGGGAUGAAGGCCUUCGGGUCGUAAACCUCUUUUGUGGGGGAAGAAGUUCUGACGGUACCCCACGAAUAAGCCACGGCUAACUACGUGCCAGCAGCCGCGGUAAUACGUAGGUGGCGAGCGUUGUCCGGAUUUACUGGGCGUAAAGGGCUUGUAGGCGGUCCGUUAAGUCUGGUGUGAAAUCUCCCGGCUCAACCGGGAGGGGUCAUCGGAUACUGGCGGACUAGAGGGGGGUAGAGGAAAGCAGAAUUCCUGGUGUAGCGGUGAAAUGCGUAGAUAUCAGGAGGAAUACCAGUGGCGAAGGCGGCUUUCUGGGCCUACCCUGACGCUGAGGAGCGAAAGCGUGGGGAGCAAACCGGAUUAGAUACCCGGGUAGUCCACGCCCUAAACGGUGGAUGCUAGGUGUGGGGGGUGUCGACCCCCUCCGUGCCGCAGCUAACGCUUUAAGCAUCCCGCCUGGGGAGUACGGCCGCAAGGCUAAAACUCAAAGGAAUUGACGGGGGCCCGCACAAGCGGCGGAGCGUGUGGUUUAAUUCGAUGCAACGCGAAGACCUUACCAAGGCUUGACAUGCUAGUGGUACGGAUCAGAAACGUGAAGGACCCUUCGGGGAGCUAGCACAGGUGCUGCAUGCCUGUCGUCAGCUCGUGCCGUGA